CCCAGACUCCUACGGGAGGCAGCAGUGGGGGAUAUUGCACAAUGGGGGGAACCCUGAUGCAGCGGCGCCGCGUGGGUGAAGAAGCGCCUCGGCGCGUAAAGCCCUUUCAGCAGGGAAGAAAAUGACGGUACCUGAAGAAGAAGCCCCGGCUAACUACGUGCCAGCAGCCGCGGUAAUACGUAGGGGGCAAGCGUUAUCCGGAUUUACUGGGUGUAAAGGGGGCGCAGACGGCGAUGCAAGCCAGGAGUGAAAGCCCGGGGCCCAACCCCGGGACUGCUCUGGAAACUGUGCGGCUUGAGUGCGGGAGGGGCAGGCGGAAUUCCUAGUGUAGCGGUGAAAUGCGUAGAUAUUAGGAGGAACACCGGCGGCGAAGGCGGCCUGCCGGACCGUAACUGACGUUGAGGCUCGAAAGCGUGGGGAGCAAACAGGAUUAGAUACCCGGGUA
rnacentral:rRNA from 1 species